CUCAUAUAUCAGAGUGCUGGGAGACAGAUGCAAAGGCUGGGGCAAGACUGCUGUGGAGCACUGGGUGCACCUAAGAGGGAAGAAGGAGCUGGAUUUGGCACUGAGCACCAGAGCAUAGUGAGGUGGUCAUGGGAGCAGCCGAGUUGGUUCAAAACUGCACCUUGCCUGACUUUUUUCCCCUGAUUCUGGCCUAAGUACUGCUCUACAGCCAUGUGACCUGGGUCACAUGGAAUGAUGGUGAUCGAUAUAGACGUGAUCUCAGAGUUCACUCCCUCAUCAUACAGUGGAGGAAACGAGGCCCAGGGAGGGGCGGAACAUUUUUCCAAGUCAUACAGCAAGAACUCAGAGGCCUCUUGGUUCCUGCUCUUGCCUUGAGGUGGUUCUGCGGGGCGCUCCAGAGCCCCCAAGAAAUUCUUCUGAAAUUCAGUUCUCCACAGGACACCUGGGCUCCUCCUCUGUCCUCCCAGCCCCUCACAGAGGAGUAGUUUCCCUUCUGGCCUGCCUAAGUCUGUCUUGUCUUCUGGACUUCAGUGGCCACCAUGGACCUCCCAAGCUUUCUCUUGGGCUCUUCCAGUGCCGACCUCAGCUUGGCUGCCUCACACUCUGUCUGGUGGGCACUUACAGGAGCCAUGUCCACAGACCACCUCGCCUGGGCUGUGGAGGCCCCGUUCUGAGACCACGUGCAGUCCAAAAAAGGAAGCUAAAAGGGGUCAGAGGAAAACAUCCCCGUGUAGGGUGAGGGUGAAUCUCAGUCUCCCUGUCAACUCUCUUUAUCCUGACAUCCAGAAUUCCAGACCUUUGUGGGCACUGAUCCCUGAGACUGGGCUCUUUAAGCUCUUUCACUGAUCCCUGGGGUCCGAAACUUUCAGCUUGCACUUUGGUUUGGUAAACCACUGACUGUCCUACCAAACGCCCCCGCACCCCACAAACUCAACCUGUGCUCUUCAUGUGCUAUCUCCUGUUCGAUCCCCACACUGACCUUCUGGGUUAGGGACUUGCAUGUCCCCAUUUUAUAGAUGAGGAGCCUGAGGCCCAGAGAGGUAAGUCACCUGCCCAGUAUCACACAGCCUGAGAUUGGCAGAGCCAGAUCUCAUGGAAUGAGAGCCCUGUCUCACCUCCCUAGAGACAGAGCUUAAUUGAUAACUUUGAGUUGAUACUGAAAGGUCACAGGAAUUGCAGCAGAUAAGGUGUUCUGAGGAACUGGCUCUCUAGCACCUGUGGUAAUUAAUUCAGUAUCCCUUUUUGUGUCCCAGAGAAGCACAGUGGCUAAAGCGCACAGCACAAGCUUGGAGAUCAGAUGGACAUGGCUUCAAAUCUCGUCUCUGCUGUUUACAAAAAGUAUGACCCCAGGAGAGGGAUUUAUACCCUCUGAGCUGUAGUUUCCUCAUCCACAAUGUGGGAGCAGGAUUUUAGAGGAUACCGAGAGAUUAAAUGAGAUCUUUCUUAUAGAGUCCUUAGCAAGGGGCUUGGCACCAUGGAUGGUAAUAUCAUCAUGAUGAUGCCAGGUAUUUUCAUUGCUAUUCCUUAUUAUUCAUCAGUAUUUUUAUUCAUUGCUAUUGCUGGUUGUAUUCAUCAUUAAUAAAUAAUAGCAUUGUUUAUUAA